GGGUGAAGCAGCUCUUCUUGAACUUCUUGGAGGGCACAGCAGUGAGCCUCUGGAGUUGGAAACACUCUGGGCGCAUCGUGGAAAUUUGCUAAACCUGUUUAUUUUGAAGAAGCUUUUGAUCCAAGGUCAUUGACAACCUGACACCCAGCGGGGCCCCGAGUGGGGCUCGGUGGGGAGCAGGGAGCUGCACAGCGCUGGGACCCAUCUCAGGCCCCUGGAGUUCAUGAAGGGCCGGUGCUCGGGCGCCUACUCACAACGUUGAUAGGAGGGCGGCCGGAAACAGUGGAGUGUCCAGCAGAGUGCCUGGAAAUCAGUGACUACCACAUACCUAGAGAAGAUUAUUUUCAAAACAGAAGAAAAAAAAAUCCUAG